CUGAAUUAUCACUUUUUUGUCAUAAGUGGACCUCAAGGCUCUGGCUAUUGAUGGAUGGUGUGACGUGGCCACAGAAUACUUGGAAUACAGGAAGUGCAAGAGGAUGAACGCUGCUUGGUCUGGAAGCCUUCUAAAGCAGCCAGAUCCAGGGCAUAAGACCUACUUCCCUGCAGUCCUCACAUACAGAUCUGCUGGUCAUCUCUGCUCCUCUCUCUUGUCAGUACCACUAUGUGAAUGAGAGUAAGACCUGGUUUGAAGCUCAGAGCUACUGCAGAGAGAGAGAUACACUGACCUGGCUACUGUGGACAGCAUGGAGGAGAUGAAGAAGCUGAUAGUAAAAGUAGAUCCUAAGUACAGAAGCGCUGUGUGGAUUGGACUUACAAGAGGAAACCAGACCGCCUGGGGCUGGUCUAUGGGAAAUAACACCUUCUCCAAGCAGCCUUUUUAUUUUAUUAUUCUGUUUUAAAACAUUAAGUUAUGAAAAUGUUACAAGUUACGUAAAAUUGACCUGCACAGCGAUAUUUUUUUCUGGCAGUGUAGAAGUAUUACAUCUGGGGAUGGAUCAGUUAUCAGUUUAAAUAAGCUCAGUCCAGUUUGGCUCAUUUGUUUCGUUAUUGUACUUAAUUCACUUCACUGUCAUAAAGGCUCCAUAAUCGUUAAACAUCACUUUAGAACCUGCGGCAGUAAGGCAUGUUACAGAAAAGCGGUCAAAAUGUUCACUGUCUGUAACAACUUUAAGGUAGAAAUGUUUGUGCUGGGUUUGACCUACCCAGGACGAUAAGCAGCUAAGAUGAUGAGUGAGUGUGUGAGUGUUAUCAAAUUGACUACACUAAAAAAAAUAAAAAAAUAUAAAAAUAGUACAUUCUUAUAAUAAUACAUAAUAUAAUAAUUAGAAUAGUAUGUUUUAUUUAAUAAGCCAAUCAAUAGGAAUGAAAUAAACAUUAUUUCUUGCAAUAUUUUUGUGUAGUGUUAUGCAGGUGGAAAUCAUAGUAUUUUUGUCAUGUUGAGGUCUUAAAAAUGCAUCGCAUUUGAUUUUAAAAGCUGUGCAGCAACGCUGUUAAAAAUAAAGGUGUCCAAAAUAGCUAUUGGGAGCGAUAACAUAGAAGAAGCACUUUUGGUUCCCUAAAGAAUCUUUCAACAAAUUGUUAAUGAAAUGUUAAUUUGUAAAUGAAAUGUUUGAGUGUGAAGAAUCUCUUAAAGUUUAAAUAGCCUCCACAUAGGGCUUUGGUCAAGACCACUUUUGUCCAAGACCAUGAAUAGUCGAAACAUUUCUGGCCUAAAGCUGCUGAAGCUCUGCUCUGGUUCACUCCGGUCCAGUUUAUCCCUUGCACUGCUUCAGUGCAAGUGAGUGCUUGCUGGUGACAGUUAGGCUUCAGCAUUCAAAUAAAUGCUGAAUGAAGCUGAAUGAUCUAUUGGCUUUUAGUUUAUGUAAGCCCCCUGUUUUUUUACAGAAUCAUCCAUUCUGUCUCAACGGUACAUUCAAGUACAGAAACAGCUCACCUGGAGAGCAGCUCAGCGAUACUGAAGAGAGAUAUACACUGACCUGUCCAGUAUCCACAAUGCAGAAGAAAACAACCAGCUGAAUUACACGUUAAGUGACACGUGGGUCGGCCUGUUCAAUGAUUCCUGGGAGUGGUCAAACCAGAAUACCUCUUCAUUUCGCUACUGGGCAGACUCUGAACCGGAUCAGACUAACAAGUGCGUCUCAGUGGCUAUGAAUGACUCUGGGAGAUGGUACGAUGAAGACUGCGGCCUGAAGCGCAAUUUUGUCUGCUAGUACUGUGAGUGUCUACCUGCUGAAUGUGAAACAUCAGGUGCAGUGUCCCACGAUCAAGUUUUCCAAAGGAGAAGCUAUAAAGCUUAGAUCUCUCACCAGGGUGUAAUUGAUAUUAAGAUUAUAUGUUCGUUUGACAACUUGCAUGUAUAAUUAUUCGCUUCAUAAGUGUGGAAUUCCUGUUGUCAGUUACUGUUUAUUUUGAGUUGAUGUGUAAACAAAGAUACGUUCCUUCUGUGUGUAAACAUGCUUGGCCAAUAAAGCCUAAAUCUGAUCCUCAAUUAAUGUUCUGUUUUAAUCCAUUUAAAACUGAAAGUGUUUGCGUGUAAUUGAACAUGUUCUUUCUUCUCAGAUGCUAAAAUACAGACAGUGAGAGUGAAGGUGAGCUCUAUUGGAAAGAAGGACCUCAGUGACCCUGAAGUAAAGGCAACUAUCUUGAAGCAGGUCAGUCUGACUUCUGAUGGCAGGAUCCUUCAAGAACAGCAUAUCUGAUCUCAAAACUGUACGUGAAAAAGAGAAAAUGACCAGCGUCCAGUAAUCGUACUGACUGAUCAUGUUAUUCAAACGAUCACUCACAUGUCUAAAGACUAAACUUCAAUAAAGAGAGAAGUGAUAGCCUGUAGUACUCUUAAAAGUACACAAAGAGUAACUUGUCUAUUGUUUAUACACACUUACCUAGUAAUUUAUUAGGAACACCUCUUUGUCCAUUUUAUCAGCUCCACUAACAUGUAGGUCCACUUUGUAGUUUUAUGAUUACAGGCUGUAGUCCAUCUGUUUUUUUUGGAUACUUUUUUAACUUUCAGUGAUCAGGAGCCCCACAGGCUUGUGGGCUUAUGUACAAGAAACCAUAAUUCAUUUUACAUGAUUUUCCAACCUGUCUAUUCCCCUUAGAAUUAAACAGGCUGUUUUUUGUUACAGUGCCUUUAAGACUGAUAUAAAUGAAAAUGAGCUAUGUUCUAAUUGGCUGUCCUGUUUUGUACUUCUUUCAAAAAGCAGUCCUAGCUGAAACACGCCUUAUAUCUUCAGCCAUGAAUCAGCAGGGCUAGACUGCUGUAGGCUGAAAGGGGUUGAUAUGUGUAAAUGUGUUCGUUUUUGGUGACUUCACAAAAGCAGUGAAUUCUGAAUGGCCUGUUUUGCAGCCUAGUUUGCAUAUGUGGACUGUAUGGACUGAGGAGUGAUGAAGCACACAAUACUUAAGCAGGCAUUUUAUUUAUUUAUUUAUUUAUUCAUUGAUGUAGAACACAUUAUUUAAAGACUGUUUGCAUUGUAGUUAAUUAUCGUUAUUGUGUUUAUUUCAGCAUUCAUUCAACUUUUUUCUUUAACAAAAUUAAUAUAUUAUUAAUUUAUUUUCAGAAUCAGUGGCAUAAAUGCAGCCAUUUUACUAUUAACUAUUUUGAUCAAGAACUUUCUAUGAGGAAGCUUUUA